GCGAGAGGCACCCAGCUCAUUGCUCUCUCCUGGAUUCUUGACCAACUCAAACUAUGGCUUGAUAUAGAUGAAGAUGCAGCUGCCAUAAGUGAUGGAAACCACAGUAAUAUGUGAAGAACAGUUGUUCAUGUAUUCUAGAGGAAAAGAAAGGAAUAUCAUUAUAUACUGCUUAUGGGAUUCUGUGCUGCGGAGAUCAUUACGGAAGCAACAGUAGCAGGUGGCCUGGCCAUACAGGGAUUCCUUACUCGCAGCAGAGAAUGUUGCUGCCACUCAAAGUCACCAGGGGCUGAAGAGCUCCUGUGGAGACCCACAUCAUCUAACAACACACAUACUCAAAACAGGGAAAUGUGCAUUUUCGGGAGAGGAAGAGACAAACCUUUUGUUUAGCUAACUGGCAUGACAGAGUGUGACAUACAUGUGCUCCUGGAAGAACGGUGUUGGGUGUCUGCACUCAAAAUCUUGAGCAUAGGCAACUGGAUGAAGGGCUCUGUGGCAUUGAUUUUCAUUGUGUGUGUGUUAAUAUUUACAUUUAUAAUUAAAUAAAUAAUCGAAAUUAUGCUGAACUGAAAAAAGAU
rnacentral:lncRNA from 1 species